AACGAACGCUGGCGGCAUGCCUAACACAUGCAAGUCGAACGAGACCUUCGGGUCUAGUGGCGCAAGGGUGCGUAACGCGUGGGAACCUGCCCUUAGGUUCGGAAUAACUCCCCGAAAGGGGUGCUAAUACCGGAUAAUGUCUUCGGACCAAAGAUUUAUCGCCUUUGGAUGGGCCCGCGUUGGAUUAGCUAGUUGGUAGGGUAAAAGCCUACCAAGGCGACGAUCCAUAGCUGGUCUGAGAGGAUGAUCAGCCACACUGGGACUGAGACACGGCCCAGACUCCUACGGGAGGGAGCAGUGGGGAAUAUUGGACAAUGGGCGAAAGCCUGAUCCAGCAAUGCCGCGUGAGUGAUGAAGGCCUUAGGGUUGUAAAGCUCUUUUACCCGGGAUGAUAAUGACGGUACCGGGAGAAUAAGCACCGGCUAACUCCGUG
rnacentral:rRNA from 1 species